rnacentral:rRNA from 1 species
GAUGAACGCUGGCGGCGUGCCUAAUACAUGCAAGUCGAGCGAACAGACGAGGAGCUUGCUCCUCUGACGUUAGCGGCGGACGGGUGAGUAACACGUGGAUAACCUACCUAUAAGACUGGGAUAACUUCGGGAAACCGGAGCUAAUACCGGAUAAUAUAUUGAACCGCAUGGUUCAAUAGUGAAAUACGGUUUUGUUGUCACUUAUAGAUGGAUCCGCGCCGCAUUAGCUAGUUGGUAAGGUAACGGCUUACCAAGGCAACGAUGCGUAGCCGACCGGAGAGGGGGAUCGGCCACACUGGAACUGGGACACGGUCCAGACUCCUACGGGAGGCAGCAGUAGGGAAUCUUCCGCAAUGGGCGAAAGCCUGACGGAGCAACGCCGCGUGAGUGAUGAAGGUCUUCGGAUCGUAAAACUCUGUUAUUAGGGAAGAACAAAUGUGUAAGUAACUAUGCACGUCUUGACGGUACCUAAUCAGAAAGCCACGGCUAACUACGUG